CCUACGGGUGGCAGCAGUGAGGAAUAUUGGUCAAUGGGCGCGAGCCUGAACCAGCCAAGUAGCGUGAGGGAAGACGGUCCUAUGGAUUGUCAACCUCUUUUGUCGGGGAGCAAAAGACGCCACGCGUGGCGUUCCGAGAGUACCCGAAGAAAAAGCAUCGGCUAACUCCGUGCCAGCAGCCGCGGUAAUACGGAGGAUGCGAGCGUUAUCUGGAUGUAUUGGGGUUAAAGGGUGCGCAGGCGGAAGAUCAAGUCAGCGGUAAAAUUGAGAGGCUCAACCUCUUCGAGCCGUUGAAACUGGUUUUCUUGAGUGAGCGAGAGGUAUGCGGAAUGUGUGGUGUAGCGGUGAAAUGCAUAGAUAUCACGCAGAACUCCGAGUGCGAAGGCAGCAUACCGGCGCUAAACUGACGCUCAGGCACGAAAGUGUGGGUAUCGAACAGGAUAAGAUACCCUUGUAGUC
rnacentral:rRNA from 1 species